rnacentral:rRNA from 1 species
UACGUAGGGUGCAAGCAUUAAUCGGAAUUAUUGGGCGUAUAGGGCGCGUAGGCGGAUCAGUAAGUCGGAUGUGAAAUCCCAGGGCUCAACCUUGGAACUGCAUCCGAAACUGCUAGUCUAGAGGGUAGGCGGAGAAAACGGAAUUCCACAAGUAGCGGUGAAAUGCGUAGAGAUGCGGAGGAACACCGAUGGCGAAGGCAGCCCCCUGGGCCAACACUGACGCUCAGGCACGAAAGCGUGGGGAGCAAACAGG